GCGACCUGUGUGGAGCGUCUUCAUCCAGUCACUCGCAGUCGGGGGUACCUUCCGGCUCUCGGUGUGCUGCCUGGACGCGCGGCCGGCAAUGAUCUGCAUGAAGUCCGGCGACCUGCCAUCGGCACCUCCCGUGAAUACUUCAACGAGAGGCAUCUACCACCUCCCGUGAAUACUUCACCGAGAGGCAUCUGCUAUGAUGUUGUGGUCUCAGAGAUUGCACGUUAAAGGCAGAGGAGAAUCUAUAUGGACGCGCCUCAGGUUCCUUCAUGAUUUUGAUCGUGAGAGAGAAGAAACUGCAUUCGGCCGUAACAAGAGUUGGAUGAAUGGGUUGUAAUCGUGAUGCAACGGAGGACCAAAAUCACCAAGAAUGUUUAGAUAUUUAGAGAACGAGGUUGCGCAGUCUCACAUUAAAAGAAUGCUUAAAUUGUGAGUUAUU